rnacentral:rRNA from 1 species
UAGGUAGGUGGUUACGUAUGUCUGAGGUGAAAUCCCUGAGCUUAACUCAGGACGUGCCUUGGAAACGGCGUAACUAGAGUACUGGAGAGGUUCGUAGAAUUCCUGGUGUAGCGGUGAAAUGCGUAGAGAUCAGGAGGAAUACCAGAGGCGAAGGCGACGAACUGGACAGUAACUGACACUCAACUACGAAAGCGUGGGGAGCAAACAGGAUUAGAUACCCUGGUAGUCCACGCUGUAAACGAUGGGUACUAGAGAUGGAGGGAGUUGACCCCCGCGUCUCGGAGCUAACGCGAUAACGUACCCCGCUGGGAAGUACGGUCGCAAGACUAAA